GACGAAGGAUGCAAGCGUUAUCCGGAUUCAUUGGGUUUAAAGGGAGCGUAGGUGGCCUUAUAAGUCAGUGGUGAAAUCUCUCGGCUUAACCGAGAAAUUGCCAUUGAUACUGUAGGGCUUGAGUAUAGUUGCCGUUGGCGGAAUAUGACAUGUAGUGAUGAAAUACAUAGAGAUGUCAUAGAACACCGAUUGCGAAGGCAGCUGACGAAACUAUAACUGACACUGAGGCACGAAAGUGUGGGGAUCAAACAGG
rnacentral:rRNA from 1 species